AUUGAACGCUGGCGGCAUGCCUUACACAUGCAAGUCGAACGGCAUCGCGGGAAAGCUUGCUUUCCUGGCGGCGAGUGGCGGACGGGUGAGUAACACAUCGGAACGUACCGGCUAGUGGGGGAUAACCCGUCGAAAGACGGGCUAAUACCGCAUACGCUCUUCUGAGGAAAGCAGGGGACCUUUUGUCCUUGCGCUAGCCGAGCGGCCGGUGUCCGAUUCGCUAGUUGGUGGGGUAAAGUCCUACCAAGGCGACGAUCGGUAGCGGGUCUGAGAGGACGAUCCGCCACACUGGGAGUGAGACACGGCCCAGACGCCUACGGGAGGCAGCAGUGGGGAAUCUUGGACAAUGGGGGCAACCCUGAUCCAGCAAUGCCGCGUGGGUGAAGAAGGCCUUCGGGUUGUAAAGCCCUUUCGGCAGGGAAGAAAUCGGCGGGGCGAAUAACCCUGCUGGAUGACGGUACCUGCAGAAGAAGCACCGGCUAACUACGUG
rnacentral:rRNA from 1 species